rnacentral:rRNA from 1 species
UAACAGUUAGAAAUGACUGCUAAUACCGCAUAAGCGCACAGUACCGCAUGGUAGUGUGUGAAAAACUCCGGUGGUAUAAGAUGGACCCGCGUCUGAUUAGCCAGUUGGCGGGGUAACGGCCCACCAAAGCGACGAUCAGUAGCCGACCUGAGAGGGUGACCGGCCACAUUGGGACUGAGACACGGCCCAAACUCCUACGGGAGGCAGCAGUGGGGAAUAUUGCACAAUGGGGGAAACCCUGAUGCAGCAACGCCGCGUGAGUGAAGAAGUAUUUCGGUAUGUAAAGCUCUAUCAGCAGGGAAGAAGAUGACGGUACCUGAUUAAGAAGCCCCGGCUAACUACGUGCCAGCAGCCGCGGUAAUACGUAGGGGGCAAGCGUUAUCCGGAUUUACUGGGUGUAAAGGGAGCGCAGACGGCAGUGCAAGUCUGGAGUGAAAGCCCGGGGCCCAACCCCGGAACUGCUCUGGAAACUGUGCGGCUAGAGUACUGGAGGGGCAGGCGGAAUUCCUAGUGUAGCGGUGAAAUGCGUAGAUAUUAGGAGGAACACCAGUGGCGAAGGCGGCCUGCUGGACAGUAACUGACGUUGAGGCUCGAAAGCGUGGGGAGCAAACAGGAUUAGAUACCCUGGUAGU